rnacentral:rRNA from 1 species
AAUAGAUACCCCGGUAGUCCACGCCGUAAACGAUGAGUGCUAAGUGUUAGAGGGUUUCCGCCCUUUAGUGCUGCAGCUAACGCAUUAAGCACUCCGCCUGGGGAGUACGGUCGCAAGACUGAAACUCAAAGGAAUUGACGGGGGCCCGCACAAGCGGUGGAGCAUGUGGUUUAAUUCGAAGCAACGCGAAGAACCUUACCAGGUCUUGACAUCCUCUGACAACUCUAGAGAUAGAGCGUUCCCCUUCGGGGGACAGAGUGACAGGUGGUGCAUGGUUGUCGUCAGCUCGUGUCGUGAGAUGUUGGGUUAAGUCCCGCAACGAGCGCAACCCUUGAUCUUAGUUGCCAGCAUUUAGUUGGGCACUCUAAGGUGACUGCCGGUGACAAACCGGAGGAAGGUGGGGAUGACGUCAAAUCAUCAUGCCCCUUAUGACCUGGGCUACACACGUGCUACAAUGGAUGGUACAAAGGGCUGCAAGACCGCGAGGUCAAGCCAAUCCCAUAAAACCAUUUCAGUUCGGA